rnacentral:misc_RNA from 1 species
GCAGAUUGUUCAUGAGUCUGUUCACUGGAGUUUUAAAGACAAUCCAAUAAUUCCCUAUAUAGUAAUAUUAGAAUUCAUAAAUUAGCUACUCGCUAUUACACUACCUCUUGUUUGGUGAAACAAUUCUCCAGCCCAUCAUCUGGAUUGUGGGUGUCAAGUCCUACAAUGUUCUUGGCCUUGCAUCAUUGCAAGCCUCUAGAAGUUGUAAGGUGUCAUUUAAGAACUGCAUUGUGUUGUUAUUUUGAAGGCAUUGAAGUAGGU